rnacentral:rRNA from 1 species
UUUCCAGAGAUGGAUUGGUGCCUUCGGGAACUGUGAGACAGGUGCUGCAUGGCUGUCGUCAGCUCGUGUUGUGAAAUGUUGGGUUAAGUCCCGCAACGAGCGCAACCCUUAUCCUUUGUUGCCAGCGAUUAGGUCGGGAACUCAAAGGAGACUGCCAGUGAUAAACUGGAGGAAGGUGGGGAUGACGUCAAGUCAUCAUGGCCCUUACGACCAGGGCUACACACGUGCUACAAUGGCGCAUACAAAGAGAAGCGACCUCGCGAGAGCAAGCGGACCUCAUAAAGUGCGUCGUAGUCCGGAUUGGAGUCUGCAACUCGACUCCAUGAAGUCGGAAUCGCUAGUAAUCGUGGAUCAGAAUGCCACGGUGAAUACGUUCCCGGGCCUUGUACACACCGCCCGUCACACCAUGGGAGUGGGUUGCAAAAGAAGUAGGUAGCUUAACCUUCGGGAGGGCGCUUACCACUUUGUGAUUCAUGACUGGGGUGAAGUCGUAACAAGGUAACCGUAGGGGAACCUGCGGUUGGAUCACCUCCUUACCUUAAA